rnacentral:rRNA from 1 species
AUGAACGCUGGCGGCGUGCCUAAUACCUGCAAGUCGCGCGAACAGACGAGGAGCUUGCUCCUCUGACGUUAGCGGCGGACGGGUGAGUAACACGUGGAUAACCUACCUAUAAGACUGGGAUAACUUCGGGAAACCGGAGCUAAUCCCGGAUAAUAUAUUGAACCGCAUGGUUCAAUAGUGAAAGACGGUUUUGCUGUCACUUAUAGAUGGAUCCGCGCCGCAUUAGCUAGUUGGUAAGGUAACGGCUUACCAAGGCAACGAUGCGUAGCCGACCUGAGAGGGUGAUCGGCCACACUGGAACUGAGACACGGUCCAGACUCCUACGGGAGGCAGCAGUAGGGAAUCUUCCGCAAUGGGCGAAAGCUUGACGGAGCAACGCCGCGUGAGUGAUGAAGGUCUUCGGAUCGUAAAACUCUGUUAUUAGGGAAGAACAAAUGUGUAAGUAACUAUGCACGUCUUGACGGUACCUAAUCAGAAAGCCACGGCUAACUACGUG